UCCGCCUCAUUCUUUCCCGGAAAACCAUAACAUUGAGCUUUAUCAUCAAGACGAGCCACUUCCCUGCCUGGUUGCGUGUUACCCCUACCUCCGUUACCAUUACCAUUUCCUCUACAUCCAAGGCUUCGCUGAUUACCUCCUCGCCCACCUUGUGGACGUACUCUACCAUUAUUACCAUUCCACGCAGGUACCAUUGCUCUAGACUGCUGUUGUUGCACGAA
rnacentral:lncRNA from 1 species